rnacentral:tRNA from 1 species
UCCCUGGUGGCUCAGAGGUUAAAGCGUCUGCCUCCAAUGCAGGAGAUGAGGGUUCGAUCCCUGGGUUGGGAA